UGUGCUAUAAGCCCAGCUCUGCUGCCUUCAUCCCGGGGCCGGGGCAGCCUGAGCUGUAUGUGUGUAUCCACGUCUUCUCUGCAGAGUGACGUCAUUCAGCUGCCCUCGUCUGCAUCUUGCCACCCAUCACACAUGCAAUUCAGGGACAGAAGACAGAGAAGAGGUUCCGAAAGCACGGGAUGUGACGAAAUGUCUCGUACCGGGAUCCCGCUGUGGUUGUUCCCCAAACUCUGCCAUUUGUCCUAUGCUGGUCCUCAGGGUCUCACACUUACCAGACGCGACGUCCGUCUGGAGGAUGUGACGCUGUGCGGUCGCCUGUCCUCCUGCGUGUGGAAGCCACGCCCCCUGCCUGUCCCCAACCCUACGCCGCCUGCAUGAAUUCACAGCACGGAGAAAACAGUGGGACCCUGAAGUGAAGCAGAUGUGACUUUUCAUGCCGCUUUGCCUCCCUGUCACUCUAGGGCUCAGCGAAUCCAUGCGCCUCUGCAGAGCCGGGCGGUCCCAAGCCCUACCUGGCAAGACUGCCAAGUGCAUUAUCCACUUUGCAUAUGAAGCCUCAAGCAGAGGGGACCUUUAGUAAUUGCUACUUCCUUUAUCAUGGCUGGGAAAUAAAUGGGGAGGCCUGUGAGAUUU